rnacentral:lncRNA from 1 species
GGGGCCGAGGCUGCGGCGUGCUGGCAGCGGGUGGACUCGCUCAACCUGGGAGUCCUUUCACCUUCCCUGUUUUAUAAAUGGCAAACCUUUCCUAAACAAGCUGUCCAUCCAACCGCCAAAACCACAGGACAAGAAUUUCUACUCAAGGGGGAAACAGCAAGAAAGAAAAAAAGGUCACCAUUCCUAGAGCAGAGUUGCUUCUGGGAAGCAAUUGCCUGGCCAGAGACUACAUUUCCCAGCCUCCCUUGCACGGAUGUGGGACUAUGGACUAGCUCUUAUCAGUGAAACAAGAGCAGAGCUGAAGAGUGAGUUUAGAUGCCACUGAUACAAUCCCAACAUCACAAAAUGGAAGGAGUUUGGGUUCCAGAGUAACCAGCCUCGCAGGAGAGCUGCCAGACUUGCCUUGGACAGUGACACGAGGGAGAAACAAACGUAUAUGUGAGAUCGCUGAGGUCAUGUUACCGCGACUGAAGUAAGAUAAGGUGGUGUCCGGAGUAUGGGGUCUGGAGCUUGACUACCUGGAUUCAAAUCCCUGCUCAGUCAUCUCUUGGCUGUGUGACUUAAGAUGAGAAGAUACAUCGCUUCUGCUUCUAAGAGUCGGUGAUCCUCAUCCUUCUCUCUGCACCUGCCCUUGCCGUGUCCUUGGUCAGCACAGAGGAAGGACAACAGCACAUCUCCCUCACAUCGGAAGUGGCUCCACAAGUUGGCCUUCACUGCCAUCAACCCUAACAGAUGUGGUGCUCUAUCUCCACAGUCCUCCAGAGAGCCCUCAAGUCCCUCAGGGUGUCUUUACUCCAAGAAGGGGUUCUAGACUAGACAAGCAGAGGUGUUGCAGAAAGGAAGAUACUGCAAAGGAUUCAGGCAGCAAAGGGUGUGCUCCCCACACUGGGGAAGACAUCUGGGCAGAAGGGCCUGGGCUGGACCUCACAUCCAUCCCUCUUCCCUUGGGGUCCUUGACCACCCUUGAGAAUGGCACCUACAUGCUCUAAUUCUCCAUAAAAUCCAGAGGCAAAAUGUCCCUGCUGUAAAGACCUUGAACCCUUUUUGGGAAGGUUUUAUGAACUUAAUAUCGUGGGUUGCUCUAACCCCAGCCUUUGUCCUGACAGCAUCUGCUCAGGGAGUUUGAGAUUCAGCCAGUCUGUAAAGAGCUUCAGAUCCAGGGCUUUGAGGUGGGGAGAAGUGGUCACCUUGGAGAAAGCAGGACACUGUGGCCAGCUGGGGCAUUCUUUGCUAUAGAUUCCAAGAGACAAACUUGCUGAUCCCAGGUCAAUUCUGCCCCUGCUUCCCUGCAUCUAGAACCAUCUCUGACUCCACCUCCCAUUAACACCCCAGAACAGAUUCCCUACCCACCUCCUCAAGAAGAACAUUGCCUCCGGGGAUUUUCUAAGAGUUUUUAGGAUAAGCAGCAGUUAGAAGCUAACAAUAAGUAAAAUUUCCAGAAAUCAAGAGAAACUUGCAAUGUUCCUUGACACUUUAAAUGAUGCACUUGAAACAAGAGGCUUGCAUUAGGAUCUAAAUUAGAGUUCUUGAGUGGCUUUUUGUAUUUUUUCUUUCACGUUAACCUGACUACAACUUUAUCUCCUCCAUUCACUUCCAAGAAGUCCUUAUAUAAUAAAGAGUUGAAGGCUGAAGCCCUUGCUUCCUCAAUAGGGGGCAGGCUCACCAGCUCCAUCUUGUCAGUUACCUCUUAAUGGUUGGUAGGAUGAGGGAAGCUUUCUCAAAAGACAGUUAAAAUAGUGCUUUAAGAAAUCCUCCGCCAAUAAAAAGUUGCUUCCAGAGUUAUAAAGUCAGUUUUCUUAACCUCUCAAUCUCAACUCAACUCAAAUUACAAAGUUUACAUGCCUUUGGGGAUGGCUGUAUUAAGUAAAUAGAGAGGAAUGGUCACAUUCAGUGUAAGCUAAAACACCCAAGGCUGGCAGUAGGAAAAGGAGCUACCUACCUAUCAGGUCUUUCAUAAAGCCAGUCCCUUAAGUAGAAAGAAUAAAGUUCUCUCAAGACUUACCCUAUGGACUGCCUUUCACAGCUGGUUCAUAUUUAUAAGCCAAUUUGUCUGGAAGUAAAUCUCUUUAACACACCCAACUGACUCCAAGAGGUGUGUCCCAUGGGAACCAAUCUUAAAUAACCGUCUCAAGAAAAGUUUUAGCAGCAAUAUUGUCAGUCCUGGAAUUUCCACCUUUGGGGGGGAAAAAAUCAACAAUAGAAUGCUUGGAAAUACAGAAUACACAGAGUUUAGCAAACUGCCAAAUUAAAUUCAGACACACACACACAAAUUUGCUAAUACCUGGUUAAAGAGUUGGCAUGGGAAGAAACAGACUUCUCAUUCAAGCCUGAAGCUCGGUAAUGGGUCAUUUGACCUGAAAUAACUUGGGCGGAAGUUGGCCUUAUUGUCUUCCACAAUCUCUUCCCACGCAGUCAAAAAAGGGGAUGCAAUCUUAAGAUUUUUUCUUCCUCAUUCUCUCCCGCCCUUUCUCCUCUCCCUCCCUCCCUUUUAUUUUCUCUCUCUCCUUCCUUCCUUCUUUUCUUUCUCUUUCAAUCUUUGGGCAUCAAAAAGGGUAUCCCAGAAAACUUCAAAUGAAGUUUUAGAAGAAGACUGUGUGUUGGUUUCAGUUGUUUUUAGGGUAGGGGCUUGAACAACCUCAUCUCAAAAAUGGAGAUUUUUUUUUAUUACCUCUUUUGGUUGAGAUAUAAUUAAUAUAUAAUAAAGCUAUCUAAUUUACUGAAUUGGUCUGAUUCACAAGUUAAAUAAGGUUAAAUCAAAGAAAACAUGUAUAAGUCCCUCUAGACAGUGUCCAGGGUUGACUGGAUUAUAAACAGACAUAACCACUGAGGUCACUUUUUAAUUUAAAAACCCUCAAUGGCUCCUGACUUCCUACAGAACAGUCUAAAAAUCUAAGGCUCAAAAAUGUCAGGCUCUCCUUUCUAGUGCUACCUGCUGCCCCCAUCUCUUAUACAUACCAUUUGUCAGAUGCAACCAGAUAAUAGAAAUUUCCAGUCUCUCAGCUUCCUCCUGCUGCCCCAGGUCUGCUUAUCAAGGCCCUGCCCAUCCUUCAAAGUCAGAAGUCAUCUCCUCCAUGGAGUCCUCCAGCAUGUGAACGUUCCCAAGGAUGGAAUAAACACCAUUUCUUAUGACAUGCCACUCGGUGGCCUCAGCAGGACCUGGAUUGGAUUUCUGUAUCAGCUCCUUACCUGCUGGAUGCCCUGGGAUGAGAGACUUGAUUACCUCUUGCCUUCAUUUUCCUCAUCUGUAAAACAAGGAUGGUGUUAUUUUUAUUUCCUGGAUCAGAAGGAGGAGGACAUUAAUAUAUGAAUUAGAUUAAUAUAUGCAAAGAAAAUAAGGCCAGCCCCUGCCCCCAGAAAAAGAGUCCAUACUGUUGCUAAGUUACAAUUAGACCUUAUGUCAGGACCCUAGAUGAUUAAGCAUUUUCUCCAUGGCAUGUGCUUGGAAAAGGAUGCUUUAUGCAAGAAUGUCACGGAUGGAUAAAAGUUACCAAGACUUGCUAUAUAGCACAAGGAACUCUACCCAAUAUUCUGUGAGAACCUAUAUGGGAAAAGAAUAUGAAAAAGAAUGGAUAUGUUGGAGUCCCUGUUGUGGCUCAGCAGUAACGAACCUGACUAGGAUCCACGAGGAUGCAGGUUCAAUCCCUGGCCUCACUCAGUGGGUUAAGGAUCCGGCAUAGCUCUGAGCUGUGGUGUAGGUCGCAGAUGUGGCUCGGAUCUUGAGUGGCCCUAAAAAACAACAACAACAACAAAAAAAAAUGGAUAUGUGUAUGUGUAUAACUGAAUCACUUUGUUGUACAGCAGAAAUUAAUACAACAUUGUAAAUCAACGACACUUCAAUAAAACCUUUUAAAAAAUGGAAAAAA